rnacentral:rRNA from 1 species
AUUGAACGCUGGCGGCAUGCUAUACACAUGCAAGUCGAACGGUAACAGGCCUUCGGGCGCCGACGAGUGGCGAACGGGUGAGUAAUGCAUCGGAACGUGCCCAGUCGUGGGGGAUAACGCAGCGAAAGCUGUGCUAAUACCGCAUACGAUCUGCGGAUGAAAGCGGGGGACCUUCGGGCCUCGCGCGAUUGGAGCGGCCGAUGUCAGAUUAGGUAGUUGGUGGGGGAAAGGCUCACCAAGCCAACGAUCUGUAGCUGGUCUGAGAGGACGACCAGCCACACUGGGACUGAGACACGGCCCAGACUCCUACGGGAGGCAGCAGUGGGGAAUUUUGGACAAUGGGCGCAAGCCUGAUCCAGCAAUGCCGCGUGCAGGAAGAAGGCCUUCGGGUUGUAAACUGCUUUUGUACGGAGCGAAAAGGCUCCCUCUAAUACAGGGGGCUCAUGACGGUACCGUAAGAAUAAGCACCGGCUAACUACGUGCCAGCAGCCGCCGUAAAAC